rnacentral:rRNA from 1 species
ACUGGACAGUAACUGACGCUCAUGCACGAAAGCGUGGGGAUCAAACAGGAUUAGAUACCCUGGUAGUCCACGCCCUAAACGAUGUGUGCUAGUUGUCGGGUUCUUAGAACUCGGUGACGCAGCUAACGCUUUAAGCACACCGCCUGGGGAGUACGGUCGCAAGAUUAAAACUCAAAGGAAUUGACGGGGACCCGCACAAGCGGUGGAGCAUGUUGUUUAAUUCGAAGCAACGCGAAGAACCUUACCUACACUUGACAUGCCCUUUAGGACUUUCAGAGAUGAUUGUUUUCAGUUCGGCUGGGAGGAGCACAGGUGCUGCAUGGCUGUCGUCAGCUCGUGUCGUGAGAUGUUGGGUUAAGUCCCGCAACGAGCGCAACCCUUAUCGUAUGUUGCCAGCAUUUAGUUGGGCACUCAUGCGAGACUGCCGGUGAUAAGCCGGAGGAAGGCGGGGACGACGUCAAGUCAUCAUGGCCCUUACGUGUAGGGCUACAAACGUGCUACAAUGGCGUUA